CUCCCAUGAUGAUUAAGCCAUGCUAAUACUGAUGCACCAGGCAGUUUGUCUGGGUGCAAGUGAGUUCAACUCACCUUCUCACACUGAUUGCUUCAGUGUGUGCUGAGGAGA